ensembl:lncRNA
AGGUAUUAUUGAUGAGAUUAAUGGGAUUAUUGAUGGGAUUAUUGAUAAUUUUGAUGGGAUUAUUGAUACAAUUGAUGAGUUUGAUGUAAUUAUUGAUCGCUUGAAGGCGGUACUGAUGGGAUUAAUGGGAUCAUUAAUAGCUGUGAUGGAAUUAUUGAUAGAAUUGAUGAGUUUAAUGGGAUUAUUGAUCACUUGAAGGCAUUAUUGAUGGGAUUAAUGGGAUUAUUGAUAGGUUUGAUGGGAUUAUUGAUACAGUUGAUGGGUUUGAUGGGAUUAUGGAUUGCUUGCAGGCAUUAUUGAUGGGAUUAAUGAGAUUAUUGAUAGCUUUGAUGGGAUUAUUGAUAGAAUUGAUGGGUUUG